CCUACGGUGGGCAGCAGUGAGGAAUAUUGGUCAAUGGGCGCGAGCCUGAACCAGCCAAGUCGCGUGAGGGAAGACGGUCCUAUGGAUUGUAAACCUCUUUUGUCGGGGAGCAAAAGACGCCACGCGUGGCGGUCCGAGAGUACCCGAAGAAAAAGCAUCGGCUAACUCCGUGCCAGCAGCCGCGGUAAUACGGAGGAUGAGAGCGUUAGCCGGUUUUAUUGUGUUUAAAGGGUGCGCAGGCGGAAGAUCAAGUCAGCGGUAAAAUUGAGAGGCUCAACUUCUUCGAGCCGUUGAAACUGGUUUUCUUGAGUGAGCGAGAAGUAUGCGGAAUGCGUGGUGUAGCGGUGAAAGGCAUAGAUAGCACGCAGAACUCCGAGUGCGAAGGCAGCAUACCGGCGCUCAACUGACGCUCAUGCACGAAAGUGUGGGUAUCGAACAGGAUUAGAUACCCUUGUAGUC
rnacentral:rRNA from 1 species